AAUAGAUGGCCAGGCAACAACAAUCUACCCGGAGUCUCAAUAUUUGAGUCAGACAAGACAGAAAGCAUGGUGCCUGCAAUGAAGUCAUGGUUAGAGAAUGCUUCAGGUGUUCAGAUUUAUAUUUACCUUUUCUCCAGGAGCAAAAGCAGCCUACCUUAAAUUUCUUCUCCAGUUUUCUCUGCAAAACCAAUCCUGUGAGGUUUUGAGGUAUUUAAAGAAAACACUUCUGUCCUUGAACCUGUCAACAGAAUAACCUGAUUCAAGUGAUACUUGACUCUUCUUUCAACAUCGUGACAUUGGCAGUAGGAUAGUAUACUUUGGCAGUUAAGAACGACACAAUUGCAUACAAAAAGAAGGACUCAAAGGAAGCUGCUGCCUGAGCAUUCAUUAUAACUUGCCUAAAUGAAGUCAUCAGUUUUGUUACAUUAUUGAUCUAACAAUAAAGUGUUUUCCUCACCA